rnacentral:rRNA from 1 species
AUUGAACGCUGGCGGCAGGCCUAACACAUGCAAGUCGAGCGAGCGGCGGACGGGUGAGUAAUGUCUGGGAAACUGCCUGAUGGAGGGGGAUAACUACUGGAAAAGGUAGCUAAUACAGCAUACCAUCAGAUGUGCCCAGAUGGGAUUAGCUAGUAGGGGGGGUAACGGCUCACCACGGCGACGAGCCCUCGCUGGGAUGAGAGGAUGACCAGCCACACUGGAACUGAGACACGGUCCAGACUCCUACGGGAGGCAGCAGUGGGGAAUAUUGCACAAUGGGCGCAAGCCUGAUGCAGCCAUGCCGCGUGUGUGAAGAAGGCCGUCGGGUUGUAAAGCACUUUCAGCGGGGAGGCGUUACCCGCAGAAGAAGCACCGGCUAACUCCGUGUCAGCCGCCGCGGUAAUAC